AUUGAACGCUGGCGGCAUGCUUUACACAUGCAAGUCGAACGGCAGCGCGGGCUUCGGCCUGGCGGCGAGUGGCGAACGGGUGAGUAAUACAUCGGAACGUGCCCAGUAGUGGGGGAUAGCUCGGCGAAAGCCGGAUUAAUACCGCAUACGACCUGAGGGUGAAAGCGGGGGAUCUUCGGACCUCGCGCUAUUGGAGCGGCCGAUGGCAGAUUAGCUAGUUGGUGGGGUAAAGGCCUACCAAGGCGACGAUCUGUAGCUGGUCUGAGAGGAUGACCAGCCACACUGGAACUGAGACACGGCCCAGACUCCUACGGGAGGCAGCAGUGGGGAAUUUUGGACAAUGGGCGAAAGCCUGAUCCAGCAAUGCCGCGUGUGUGAUGAAGGCCUUCGGGUUGUAAAGCACUUUUGGCGGGAACGAAAAGGACUGUGCCAAUACCACGGUUCGAUGACGGUACCCGCAGAAUAAGCACCGGCUAACUACGUG
rnacentral:rRNA from 1 species